UUGCUAUCUGCGAUAUGGAAGAUUCGAACCUGCCGCAGGUUCGGGUCUCACGCAGUGAGACAACGGAGCCGUUUACGGCGACGGCCCGAAGGGCGAGCGAAGCGAGUCAUCCUGCACAACCCACCA
rnacentral:sRNA from 1 species